rnacentral:tRNA from 2 species
GAGACAGGUCUAGAAGUCAAUAAUAGUAGACUGUAAAUCUGCUCACGUAUGUGUACGCUGGUUCGAAUCCAGCCCUGCCCACCA